ACAGAAACAGGAAAAACAAGACUCGGAAUGUGGACUAGUAGAAUAUUAAUACAGAAAUUAAUUAACACGAACCAGGUUUAUGGUCAGCAGCAAAUUGAGGAACAGACACACAACAACUGUGAUGACAAGACAGCGAUGGACAAGCAGCACUAUUGGAUAAG